CAGUCGAGCGGCAGCGCGGGGCAACCUGGCGGCGAGCGGCGAACGGGUGAGUAAUAGAUAGGAACGUGUCCGGGAGUGGGGGAUAACUAGCCGAAAGGUUAGCUAAUACCGCAUAUUCUCUACGGAGGAAAGCGGGGGACUCCUAAACCGGGGGCAUCUGGUGGGACUGGGUGUUUCAGGUUUAGGGGCCUCGCGCUCGCGGAGUGGCCUAUCUCCGAUUAGCUAGUUGGUGAGGUAAAGGCUCACCAAGGCGACGAUCGGUAGCUGGUCUGAGAGGAUGAUCAGCCACACUGGGACUGAGACACGGCCCAGACUCCUACGGGAGGCAGCAGUGGGGAAUUUUGGACAAUGGGGGCAACCCUGAUCCAGCCAUGCCGCGUGCGGGAAGAAGGCCUUCGGGUUGUAAACCGCUUUUAUUUGGGAAGAAGGAGUGCUGGUUAAUACCCGGCAUGACAGACGGUACCGGACGAAUAAGCACCGGCUAACUACGUGCCAGCAGCCGCGGUAAUACGUAGGGUGCGAGCGUUAAUCGGAAUUACUGGGCGUAAAGCGUGCGCAGGCGGUUCGAGAAGUCAGCUGUGAAAGCCCCGGGCUUAACCUGGGAAUGGCGGUUGAAACUCUCGGACUAGAAUCUGGCAGGGGGGGGGCGGAAUUUCCACGUGUAGCAGUGAAAUGCGUAGAGAUGUGGAGA
rnacentral:rRNA from 1 species